AGAGUGAACGCUGGCGGCAGGCCUAACACAUGCAAGUCGAACGGCAGCACAGGGGAGCUUGCUCCCUGGGUGGCGAGUGGCGGACGGGUGAGGAAAACGUCGGAAUCUGCCUAUUUGUGGGGGAUGACGUAGGGAAACUUACGCUAAUACCGCAUACGACCUACGGGUGAAAGCGGAGGACCUUCGGGCUUCGCGCAGAUAGAUGAGCCGACGUCGGAUUAGCUAGUGCGGGUAAAGCCCACAAGGCGACGAUCCGUAGCUGGUCUGAGAGGAUGAUCAGCCACACUGGAACUGAGACACGGUCCAGACUCCUACGGGAGGCAGCAGUGGGAAUAGUUGGACAAGUGGGCGCAAGCCUGACUCCAGCCAGUGCCGCGUGUGUAGAAGAAGGCCUUACGGGUGUAAAGCUACUUUUAGACCGGUAAAGAAAAGCCGAACGGUUAACUACCCGUU
rnacentral:rRNA from 1 species